CACGUAGGGAGCAAGCGUUGUCCGGAUUUAUUGGGCGUAAAGAGCUCGUAGGUGGUUCGGUAAGUCAGGUGUGAAACCUCCAGCUCAACCUGGAGACGCCACUUGAUACUGCUGUGACUGGAGUCCGGUAGGGGAGCGUGGAAUUCCUGGUGUAGCGGUGAAAUGCGCAGAUAUCAGGAGGAACACCAACGGCGAAGGCAGCUCGCUGGGACGGUACUGACACUAAGGCGCGAAAGCGUGGGGAGCGAACAGG
rnacentral:rRNA from 1 species